GCCGAGCUCAGUGACGUGGGCUUGUAACUCAAGUGAGGGCAAGU
rnacentral:SRP_RNA from 1 species